CAACCUUCGUUGCCUGGAAACCAUCCCUGGUGACGUGUUUCCGGAUACACAUAAACCUGAUCGACCAAUCGCUUGUCGACUCUUUGAAUACAAGAUGUGUACCAUGGCAACGAGUAAAUACAAACACAUCAACUUUGAAAGCCGUAUUUAUUCCAAUUGAAGUUUUAAAUGAACCAGCAGAGUUUUUCUCUCUCAGAGCUUUCGGUCUCUUUCUUUGCAAUGUUUGUUGAAUUAUCCCAAAGCUUAUGUUGCCAUGUUGUAACAUUUAUAGCAUGUAAUGCCAAAAUAGUGAUUUGGUUUCGUUAUCUGAUCCAUUGAGGAAAAACCACACAUGGUGUUGACUAAUUGGGAGUUAAUAGUUAGCGGCAACGCUGCUUGCGGCAAUCUUUAACCUUACUUAUGCCUUAUUUUGACGAUUGACAUGCGUUUGACUUUCUGGUUUGCUACAAAGAUAAAUAUUAAUUUAUCUAUUUUUUGUUUGAGUUUAUUGAGUUUUGUGAUUUGUGGUUUGAUAUCGAAUGCGUGACUGUGUUCGAUUGUUGUUAGUUCUUAGUUUGUAGCGUGUUUUUAGUUUGUGUUGGGUUCUAUUCGGCAUGCUUUGUUUAUGUUGCAUGGCUUUUGUUCUUGGGGUUUUCUUCUGUAUAAUGCCAGGAAAGUUGUACAGAUGCUAAUAUGGAGAGAAUUUGUCGCAAAGUUUCGAUCUUUCUUGCGUUUGUGUCCGCAUCGGCGGCUACUUUCCAUAAACUGCGGCCGAAUAAAAUCUACAAAACCGUGGUGGAACCAUUUGUGGAUUACGCCCUAAAGGGCUUAUUUACUGGAAGUGUUGUCGACCCAAUCGGCCAGCUAUUCACUGGAGGAGGAAAAAAGUCCAAACACCCCAAAGGCAAACAUUUUCGUUACUCCUUCGGCCCUUAUCAGGAUUAUCACCAUCAGGAGCCGUACUUCCAUCAUGAACCCGAUGUAUAUUUUCAUCAUCAUCAUCAGGCUCUUUAUCCUCCUCCUUGUGCUCAACAUGUGGAAUUCCAUCCACAUCAUGUUCCUCAUGCGGCUGUUCCGUUUUAUCCACCUGCGGAUGAGCAUUAUGGCGGGUUUGAUUAUGGUAGUGGACAUUUCGAUGGUGCUUUUGAACAUUACAAGGAUUUUCAGUUCGAUUGAAACUUUGGUUUAGUUUAUUCAUGUAUUUCUAGUUGAUUAUUUGAUUAAAGAGUAAAGUGAGUGAA